rnacentral:lncRNA from 10 species
UAUUUGAGACAAGGUCUUGUUCUGUCACCCAGGCUGGAGUGCAAAGACUCAAUCUCAGCUUGCUGCAGCCUCAACCUCCCAGGCUGAAGCGAUCCUCCCACCUUAACCUCCCAAAUAGCUGGGACUACAGGCAUGCACCACCAUGCCUGGCUAAUUUUUGUUUCCUUUUUGUAGAGACAAGUUCUCACUAUUUUGCCCAGGCUGGUCUUCAACUUCCAGGCUCAAGUGAUCUUCCUGCCUUGGCCUCCCAAAAUGCUGGGAUUACAGGUAUGAGCCACCAUGACUGGCCUAGGUAUUUUAAAAGUAAAAAAAAAAAGCUCCUUUUCUAGCAGGUGAUCAGGCAGACACCUCUUCUAUUGAAAUACUACACAAGGAGCUGCCAGUGUAUUUUAAAGCAGGAUCAAAUGAAAAGAUUCAGAUAAGCAAAGGCCUGUGGGGGAAGUAAGGCAGGGAGUAAUAUAAAUCUCACGUGCAGUUAGAACAGUGGAUUCUCAGUGGGUUGGAGCAGAAAUUCCAAUCAUUAGAAGUUUUUCCGGGUUUACAGAUCCAAUCAUGUGUCAAGGACAUGGAUCACAAUAUGGCUGAGGUGGUAGGCACCCAUCUGGGUGAAAUCCCAGGCUAUUUUCUUAGUUGUAUUCAAGGGUCUUAUGGCCAUAGUCUCUUCUACACUCUUGAGUGAAGGGUCAUUCUUGUCUUCCAGGAACAGUUGGCCUUUUUGGAUGAAGGUGUGAUUACUGGAAAGGAGUACUGCCAGGUGAUAAAGUAAGAAGACAAAGAUGCAGACAAUCAAAAGCAGCCACAUCAGUCUGGUGAUGGGCAAGGGAACACGUGUCAAAGCCAGCUGACCUUUACAUACAUCACGGCUAACUAGAAAACCAUUUGGUGACUUGCUAGUUCCUCGAACUUCUGGGAAAGAGAAUGGUGUUAUAGGUGAGAGAAUGGGGUGAAAUCAGGGAGGUGUAAAAUAACAGGAUUUAUUGGAAGGAUAAGAUUUUCAAUGCAGUUGAAAUAGAGGAUUAAGGUGGGGGGGAAUGUGGCAACAGAAUUUUUGUCAUCACAAUAAACCAAAGGCAUAAUAAAGUACCUAAGAGAUGUUUUGCUCAAAAUUGUCCAAAAUGGCACAGCCAGAGCUCUCUCUUCUAGGAGUCUAUCAAGAAAAUGUGUACUGAUACAGAACAUAGUCAUAGCUGUGUGGAGGAGACAUAGCUAAAAUGCACAGAGAGCUUUACAUGUACCAUCAGAUUUAAUCUCCAUACAACCUGUUGUGUUGUAUCUACUAUUAUUUUCCCUACUUGAUUUAUGUGGAAACUAAAGCUUGGAAAGGGCAGGUAACUUCCCAGGGUAAAAGCUAACCCAGAAUUAGGGCCCAGGUCUUUUGAACUUCAGGGCCUAUGGUGAUGACCAAUAGGCGGUGCUGCUCCUCACUACACUAUUCUGUGAGUAUUGUAUCUGUGCCUCACUUCUAUACGCUAAACUGUAGCUAUCAAAGGCUAUUGGAUUUUUUAAAAAUUCAGACAUUCAUAGAUUUAAAAAAAUCUUUCCAUCAUUAUUAACUAAGAGUUGACCAUAUGCUUAGUACUGGGGUAGGUUGUUUGCUUUAAUUAAAGAUGCAGGCAUUAAUCAAACAUUUCCAUAUGAGUGUGUUGGCUAAGUUUGGUAUUCUAGUGUGAAAUGCAAAGUCUGUGAUAUUUAAACAUAAUUACAGAAUCAAAAUUGUGUGUAUUCAGAUGAAAUUUUUCCAUUGGUAUUAAUACAUUGGAUACAAGUGUAAUUUUGUUACAUUGAUGUCUAUAGUGGUGAAGUCAGGGCUUUUAGUGUAUCCAUCACUAGAGUAACUACAUUGUACCCAUGUGUGUAUUAUCAUUGUCCUAUUUUCAAAGCAGAGCAAUU